rnacentral:ncRNA from 2 species
GGGUGCCCGCGCGGAAAGCAGGGCAGGUUGAACGUUGGUCGGGCCGCCAGCG